AACGCGAAGAACCUUACCUACUCUUGACAUCCUCGGAACCAUGUAGAGAUACGUGGGUGCCUUCGGGAACCGAGAGACAGGUGCUGCAUGGCUGUCGUCAGCUCGUGUCGUGAGAUGUUGGGUUAAGUCCCGUAACGAGCGCAACCCCUAUCCUUAGUUGCCAGCGAGUCAAGUCGGGAACUCUAGGGAGACUGCCGGUGAUAAACCGGAGGAAGGUGGGGAUGAUGUCAAGUCAUCAUGGCCCUUACGAGUAGGGCUACACACGUGCUACAAUGGGCGGUACAAAGGGAAGCGAAGCUGUGAAGUGAAGCGAAUCUCGAUAAAGCCGCUCGUAGUCCGGAUUGGAGUCUGCAACUCGACUCCAUGAAGUUGGAAUCGCUAGUAAUCGCGGAUCAGAACGCCGCGGUGAAUACGUUCCCGGGCCUUGUACACACCGCGUGUCU
rnacentral:rRNA from 1 species